AAACGACUCUCGGCAACGGAUAUCUCGGCUCACGCAUCGAUGAAGAACGUAGCAAAAUGCGAUACUUGGUGUGAAUUGCAGAAUCCCGUGAACCAUCGAGUUUUUGAACGCAAGUUGCGCCCGAAGCCAUCCGGCUAAGGGCACGCCUGCCUGGGCGUCACGC
rnacentral:rRNA from 1 species